rnacentral:rRNA from 1 species
GUGGGGAAUCUUGCGCAAUGGGCGAAAGCCUGACGCAGCCAUGCCGCGUGAAUGAUGAAGGUCUUAGGAUUGUAAAAUUCUUUCACCGGGGACGAUAAUGACGGUACCCGGAGAAGAAGCUCCGGCUAACUUCGUGCCAGCAGCCGCGGUAAUACGAAGGGGGCUAGCGUUGCUCGGAAUUACUGGGCGUAAAGGGCGCGUAGGCGGACAGCUUAGUCAGAGGUGAAAGCCCAGGGCUCAACCUUGGAAUUGCCUUUGAUACUGGCUGUCUUGAGUUUGGGAGAGGUGAGUGGAACUCCGAGUGUAGAGGUGAAAUUCGUAGAUAUUCGGAAGAACACCGGUGGCGAAGGCGACUCACUGGCCCGUUACUGACGCUGAGGCGCGAAAGCGUGGGGAGCAAACAGGAUUAGAAACCCGAGUAGUCC